rnacentral:tRNA from 1 species
GGCUUUACUGGAAUAUGGUUACCUUGAAAUUAACUUAAAGAUGUUCGAUUCAUCUAAAAGCUU